AGCGAACGCUGGCGGCAGGCCUAACACAUGCAAGUCGAACGGAUCCUUCGGGAUUAGUGGCGGACGGGUGAGUAACACGUGGGAACGUGCCCUUUGGUUCGGAACAACUCAGGGAAACUUGAGCUAAUACCGGAUGUGCCCUUCGGGGGAAAGAUUUAUCGCCAUUGGAGCGGCCCGCGUCUGAUUAGCUAGUUGGUGAGGUAACGGCCCACCAAGGCGACGAUCAGUAGCUGGUCUGAGAGGAUGAGCAGCCACACUGGGACUGAGACACGGCCCAGACUCCUACGGGAGGCAGCAGUGGGGAAUCUUGCGCAAUGGGCGAAGGCCUGACGCAGCCAUGCCGCGUGAAUGAUGAAGGUCUUAGGAUUGUAAAAUUCUUUCAGCGGGGACGAUAAUGACGGUACCCGCAGAAGAAGCUCCGGCUAACUUCGUG
rnacentral:rRNA from 1 species